UGUCUGCCCCUGGAUCAGACCCAGACAGGGAGGGGCUGCUGAUGCUGGUAGAGACAGAGCUGAGGCCACAGUCCUGCCCUCUCCUCCAGGCCCUACCCAGCCCCGCCCUGCUGGCUCAUGCCCAUAAUUACUUAACUUCUUGAGCUGCUUGAGGUUGCUGGAGCGGAUGGCAGCCAAUAGCUGGUCACGGGAGUUCUUCUCCUGGGCAGGGAGGACUUUGUCUCCCAUCUUCCUCUGGGUAGCUGAUGUGUCGCUGGUUGUGGAAGCGGAGCUCGGUCAGCGUGUUGUUCUGGAGGAGGGCCCGGAAGAUGGCCAGGAUGCCUUUGCCUGUGAUGUGGUUGGAGUCCAGGUUGAGGCUGGUGAUGGUCUUGUUGGCCUUGAGCAUGAUGGCAAUGGCAAAGGCCACAUGGUCAUCGGCUCGCGUGUUGGCCAAGGCGAACACCUUAACCACAGUGUUGAACUCCAGAGCCUCAGUAAACCGGACCAAGAUCUCA
rnacentral:antisense_RNA from 1 species